GAGGGUAUAGCUCAGCCGUAGAGCACGUACUUAGCAUGCAUGAGGUCCUGGGUUCAAUCCCCAACACCUGCU
rnacentral:tRNA from 1 species